rnacentral:ncRNA from 1 species
CGAUUUGGUUGCCUUGGUGCAUUAAAAUGGGAAUCGGGUGUGAGUCCCGAACAGUCCCGCUGCUGUGAGCCUCUUGCAAUCAGUCUGUCUCUUGAAAUGGGCCAUUGUGUGCCGAUAUAGGUGCAUGAGAAGGCGGGGACGGAAGGAGGCGAAGUCAGAAGACCUGCCAAAUUG